UCUGAAUCUGAAUAUACUAUAAAAAAAAGGAAACUUAUUCCAGAUGCCCUUUGUCAUUUUGUCAGCAGUAUCUGGCUAUGAAAUCUUCUGUAAUUUUUGCUGCAUCAAGGAUAUUUUAAGCUUUCCAAAAAUCUGUCAAUAUUUUAUUAUUAUUAAAUUUUAUGCCUCUUUCCAUCCUACUGAAUACGAAGUAGUAAGGCAUUUCAGUGGCUGUCUUAAGCCACCCAUACAUGUAAUGAGCUUUUCCUUUGUUUUAUAUUGCUUUUUUGCUAAUGAUGAUAAGAUUAUUCCAACAUUUACUAUGGAUAGGCUAUACCCAUAGUGGGUCAUCUAUGAGAUCAACAAUGAACUAGACUAAACCCUUCUUGCAAAAAUCAGGGGAUAUAAAACCUAGAAUUGAAUCAAAUUUUCCAAGAUGAAAUGCAACACAAUUCCACACAGUUUAUUGUGCAUCAUAGGGUUGAUAGUAGUAGUUUGGCUAGAGACUAGGAUCAAAUUCAGAUACAGUAAUAUCCUGCUUAAUGUAAAGGAUGCGUUCCAAAUUUUCAUAAUGUUAAACGGGUUAUGUCUUUGCAAAAAUAUGGGAUCAAUGCAAAAUAAAUACA
rnacentral:lncRNA from 1 species